UUUUCUCGGCCCGCGAGGCCCCUAAGCUGCUGGAACCGUUAUGCAGUAGAAGCGGCCCGGUCCCUUUAAGACCCCGCCGCGCCUGCGCCUUGGGUUCUGACGCGAUUCUGAGGAGCCAGUCGUGGGCCGGCGGGGGCGCGGGCGCGGGGCUGGCUGGCGGUUGAGACCGCGGCGGUACUGGGAGGGGUAGGUGAGGGUCGCGAGGCUGCCUGAGCUUCUGAGUGAGCAUGGCGCUUUUCGAACGCGGGACUGGCGACCUGCUGCUCUAGGAGUGGGGCCGAGGCGGGGCGGCGCGGCUACCGGCUGCUCUCUGGAUGGGAAGUUACCGCGAAGUCCACCCAGCCUUUCCGAGAUCAUCUCAUUUGGCGUCCUUUCACUGAAGAGUUAACCAGGACGUUUGGCCUGGUUUCCUCGCUUUCCUCCUGUCUGUUGCUGCUGGAGCUGCUUUGGAAAAGAAGUCUUUUCUCAAGUGGCAAUCUGAAGGCAAAUCCUGUUUCGACCCAGGCGAAAGUUCCUGGUGAUCCAGGCUCUCACCAGCCGAUUGUCCCUUCCUGUCUUCCUGAGGGUGUCUGGAGCUUCAGUGUUGUGUGCUCUUGGCCUCCACGCUGGGGUGCCACCGACUCCCACUGUCCAGGGCUUCUGGUGGACUCUCCGAGGCACUGAUGCAGAAACAUCCCCAUUCGGUGCACCAAGAGCAGCCUCACACGGUGUGGGCUGACAUGAAGAGCUGCCGGAUCCAACAGAAAUGUGAUUGAUAACAGUAAAGCCGCACUCCUUAUGUGCCUGAAAUAUCCCUCAUUGUCUUCUUCAGGUGGCAAGGGCUCUGGAACAGCCACAUAAAGGUGAGGGCAAUAUUUUUUUUCAUUGAUUGAUUGGUUGGUUGAUUUUUUUUCUGUUAGAGGGGUUAGCAUCCAUGUAUCUGAAAUUGAAAUUCAAGAGGAGAGACAGACACCUGUACUAGUUUUCUCUUGCUGCCAAUGAUCACAUUACCACAAAUCAGUGGUUUGAAACCACAGAAGUCUGGAAUGAAGUGGCCGGGUUCUCUGAUCAGAGUCAUGUGAGGCUAAAAUCCAGGAAUGGGCUGGCUGUGUUUUUUUCUAGAGCUCAAGCAAUUUGUUUCAAAGUUCACUACAGAUAUUGAAAGAGUUUCUAUUCUUGUUUGUGGGGCACUGAGGGCCCUUUGUCUUUGCUGACUGUCGUCCAGGAGACAGUCUGACUCCAGAGGCCACCUGCUUUCCUCCUUCCCUGUCUUUCCAUCAUCAACCAAUAAUAACUCAUGCAUCUUUCUCAAGCUCCUACCAUCUCUGACUUCUUCUCCAACCAGCCCCAGAAAGUUGUCUUGUAUGGAGCGAUGUGAUUAGAUCCAGUUCAUGCAGGUAACCUCACCAGCUUAAAGUCAUAUAACUGGCAUAUAACAACAUAAUCACAGGAAUGGUGUCUCAUCACUUUAACGGGCAUUGGAGACAAGGGUGUGGCAUGUUGGGGGACCAUUUCAGAAAUUCCAUCUACCACAGUAUUCACAUUCCCCCAAUUGCAAAAUGCAUUCACCCUCUCCCCUAAGGUUUCCCAAUCUCAUGUCAUUAAAGCAUUAGUUCAACAUGAAAAAUGUCAUAUAGACCACAUCAGAUGAAAAGUUUAAAAUCCCAUUUAAAACAUCCACACCAGGUGUGGAUGAGGCUUCUGAGGGUGUCCAUGAAGUACAGAUCCUUGACAUAAUUCCCUUUCCUCCGUCGACCUGUGAAACUGAACGAACAGCUUAUCUGCCCCUAAUGUGAAAUGACGGGACAGACAUGGAAUAACAACUACAGUGAUUCUAGUUCAAAAUGAGGGAAUAAGGAAGGGAUAAAGAAGUCACUGACCCAAAAUAGUUUGGAAAUGGAGCUGGGCAAAAUCCAGCAGGAGUUUCUUAAUUAGGAUCCACAGCCUGGGACCGACCCGCUGUCCUGUGAGUCUUUGCCUCUGGGCUCUCUGCUCUGCAUUUCUUCAGACCAUGAUUAUUCAUCUCUUUUCUUACACUCUUUUGUGUAUGGCUCCUAUUGCAUUCAAAAUGUUUUUGAGAUUCUUCCAUGUUGUUUUGUGUGUCAACAGUUCGUUCCCUUAGGCUUUCCAUGGAAUGACUGUAUUACAGUUUAUUGAUCCAUUGUUGUAUUGACAGAUGCUUGAAUGUUUCCAGUUUUUCCUAUUAUGAAUUAAAGUGCCAUGGACAUUCUUGUAUAAA